AACGAACGCUGGCGGCAUGCCUAACACAUGCAAGUCGAACGAGACCUUCGGGUCUAGUGGCGCACGGGUGCGUAACGCGUGGGAACCUGCCCUUAGGUUUGGAAUUACUCCCCGAAAGGGGUGCUAAUACCGGAUAAUGUCUUCGGACCAAAGAUUUAUCGCCUUUGGAUGGGCCCGCGUUGGUUUAGCUAGUUGGUAGGGUAUAAGCCUACCAAGGCGUCGAUCCAUAGCUGGUCUGAGAGGAUGAUCAGCCACACUGGGGCUGAGGCACGACCCAGACUACUACGUGAGGCAGCAGUGGGGAAUAUUGGACAAUGGGCGGAAGCCUGAUCCAGCUGGGCCGCGUGAGUGAUGAAGGCGUUAGGGUUGUAAAGCUCUUUUACCCGGGGUGAUAAUGACAGUACCGGGAGAAUAAGCUCCGGCUAACUCCGUG
rnacentral:rRNA from 1 species